AUGAAAGGGACGGGAGACAUCUUGAUCAAUGGUUGCCGUCAGAAGGUUGCAUCCGCAACCUCCGCGUAUGUGACCCAAGAAAAUGUGCUGAUGGCGACGUUGACGGUGGCGGAGGCGGUGCACUACUCGGCACAGCUUCAGCUGCCGGACUCCUUGACGCCGGCUGAGAAGCGGUCGUGGGCCGACGAUGUUAUCCGGCAGAUGGGGCUCGCCACGGUGGCCGGAACUCGGAUCGGCGGGCGCGUUUGCAAGGGCAUCAGCGGUGGCCAGCGGAAGCGAGUGAGCAUCUGCAUUGAGCUGCUGGCGUCGCCGGCGCUCAUCUUCCUUGACGAGCCAACAAGUGGGCUUGAUAGUGCCGCGUCGUACCACGUAAUGAGCCGCAUCGCCGGGAUCGCCGGAAGGAAUGGGACGACGGUCGUCGCAGCCAUCCACCAGCCAAGCACAGAGGAGUUCGAGCUCUUCCAUGGCCUCUGCCUGUUGGCCAAUGGGAGGGCGGUUUAUUUUGGGCCAGCUUCCAAGGCAAUAGAGUUCUUUGAUGCUAAUGGCUUCCCAUGCCCAUUGAGGAGGAAUCCUUCUGAUCACUUCUUAAGGAUGAUAAACACAUACUUUGAGGAAGCCGAGGAAGAAUCAGCUAUAAAUUUGGCACAUGCUGCAAAAGUAAUCCAGACUCUAGUAGCUUCUUCUGGCUCUCUUGCUAUUUUAGGAACUGAAAUGGAAGCAAGCAAAACAAUUAAGCAGGAGGGUGACCAUGUACUUCAACGAAGGCAAGCAACCUUUUGGACCAAAUCAAUUGUCCUAACUAAAAGAUCAAUGGUUAACAUGCACAGAGACAUAGGCUAUUAUUGGUUACGUUUUGUUAUCAAUAUCGCACUUUCUCUAAUCAUUGGGACCAUUUUCUUCAAUGUUGGUGACAAUUAUGCAUCAAUCCAAGAGCGAGCAUCUAUGCUUAUGUUCACAUCAACCUUCAUGACAAUGAUGGCAAUCGGAGGUUUUCCAUCAUUUGUAGAGGAUAUGAAGAUAUUUGAGAAAGAGCAGCGGAGUGGACACUAUGGGCCAUUGAAUUUGUAA
rnacentral:rRNA from 1 species